AACUUUUCAGCUAGAGUAUGAUAGAGGAAAGCAGAAUUUCUAGUGUAGAGGUGAAAUUCGUAGAUAUUAGAAAGAAUACCAAUUGCGAAGGCAGCUUUCUGGAUCAUUACUGACACUGAGGAACGAAAGCAUGGGUAGCGAAGAGGAUUAGAUACCCUCGUAGUCCAUGCCGUAAACGAUGUGUGUUAGACGUUGGAAAUUUAUUUUCAGUGUCGCAGCGAAAGCGAUAAACACACCGCCUGGGGAGUACGACCGCAAGGUUAAAACUCAAAUGAAUUGACGGGGACCCGCACAAGUAGUGGAGCAUGUGGUUUAAUUCGAAGAUACGCGCAGAACCUUACCAACACUUGACAUGUUCGUCGCGACUCUAAGAGAUUAGAGUUUUCGGUUCGGCCGGACGAAACACAGGUGCUGCAUGGCUGUCGUCAGCUCGUGUCGUGAGAUGUUGGGUUAAGUCCCCGCAACGAGCGCAACCCUCACUUUUAGUUGCCAUCAUUAAGGUGGGCACUCUGAAAGAACUGCCAGUGAUAAGGCUGGAGGAAGGUGGGGAUGACGUCAAGUCCUCAUGGCCCUUACGUGUUGGGCUACACACGUGCUACAAUGGUAUCUACAACAGGAAGCAAGACUGCGAGGUCAAGCAAAUCCUUAAAAGAUACCUCAGUUCGGAUUGCACUCUGCAACUCGAGUGCAUGAA
rnacentral:rRNA from 1 species